ACGUCAGUAGCGCAACGGGUUAGAGCACGCGCCGCCGAGAAAGGGUGAAGUGCGAGUUCGAGUCCCGCCUGACGUC